AUUGAACGCUGGCGGCAGGCUUAACACAUGCAAGUCGAGCGGUAGCACAAGAGAGCUUGCUCUCUGGGUGACGAGCGGCGGACGGGUGAGUAAUGUCUGGGAAACUGCCUGAUGGAGGGGGAUAACUACUGGAAACGGUAGCUAAUACCGCAUAACGUCGCAAGACCAAAGAGGGGGACCUUCGGGCCUCUUGCCAUCAGAUGUGCCCAGAUGGGAUUAGCUAGUAGGUGGGGUAAUGGCUCACCUAGGCGACGAUCCCUAGCUGGUCUGAGAGGAUGACCAGCCACACUGGAACUGAGACACGGUCCAGACUCCUACGGGAGGCAGCAGUGGGGAAUAUUGCACAAUGGGCGCAAGCCUGAUGCAGCCAUGCCGCGUGUGUGAAGAAGGCCUUCGGGUUGUAAAGCACUUUCAGCGAGGAGGAAGGUGGUGAGCUUAAUACGCUCAUCAAUUGACGUUACUCGCAGAAGAAGCACCGGCUAACUCCGUG
rnacentral:rRNA from 1 species